rnacentral:rRNA from 1 species
GGCGGUGGCUAUGGCGAGGAGGCCACACCCGUUCCCAUCCCGAACACGGUCGUUAAGCUCCUCUGCGCCGAUGGUACUGCGCGGGCAAACUGCGUGGGAGAGUAGGACGCCGCCGCCU